AUUAAACUAUUUUGAGAUAAGUAUAAAAGAGAAUAAAUGAAAAAAAAAAAUUUAGAUCUUCUUCAUGGUGUCGUCCCUCUCUCUCCAUUUCUCUCUCUUUUUCUUUCUUCCACCAUUUUUGAACUCUUGAAGCUCAAAAUUUCCCUAGUCUCUUCCAUAAUUUUCUUAAGUUCCGAUAUAAAAAUUUAUCCUAGAACCUUGCUUAACACUUUGGGAGCAAAAAGGAAGAGGAGUAGUGAAGGCUUUGGAAAUUCAACAAAGAGUUGGAAAGGAGUCCUUCAAGGA
rnacentral:misc_RNA from 1 species